GCAUUUUUUUGCUGAACAAGACGGCAAUUCUUUAUAAAUGUUAUCCUCCAUGCGUUAGCAUAAUUGGAACCAGAUUAUGAUUGCUGGUCAUUUUAACUAGUAAACAGUAGUUGUAGUAAACUGCGAUGUCCAUUUCUAACCUCUCCAGUUCAGAGGCACAAGAGGUCCGAACUCCACUCCUAAACGACACUGUUGAUGGCUGCGUUGAUUAUAAGGGCAACCCAGUUUGUAGAUACAACUCUGGUGGAUGGAGGCCUGCAUCUUUCAUUAUAGGUGUGGAAGUUGCAGAGAGGUUUGCUUAUUAUGGGAUCUCUUCCAACUUAAUAACGUAUUUAACUGGGCCGUUGGGUCAAUCAACCGUUACUGCGGCUAAGAAUGUGAACGUAUGGUCAGGCACAGCGUCGUUGCUGCCCUUGUUCGGUGCAUUUGUUGCUGAUUCUUUUCUUGGAAGAUGCAGGACUAUUAUUAUCGCCUCACUUAUCUACAUUUUGGGACUUGGCUUGUUGACUCUAUCAGCUAUGCUUCCUACAUCUGACUGUCAAAGUGACAGCAUGUCCUGUUCUUCUAAUACACUGCAAGUGAUUUUAUUAUUUAUUGCUCUCUAUCUAGUAGCACUUGGCCAAGGUGGGCACAAGCCUUGUGUCCAGGCUUUUGGAGCGGAUCAAUUUGAUAGACACGACACCAAAGAGUACAAAGCCAAAAGCUCAUUCUUCAAUUGGUGGUAUUUUUUUCUGAGUUCAGGCAUCUUAGUAUCACUACUGGUUUUAACAUACAUUCAAGACAAUCUUAGUUGGAGUCUUGGAUUUGGAAUCCCAUGCAUUAUGAUGAUCUGUGCACUGAUCAUCUUCUUACUGGGAUCAAAGAAAUAUCGGUACAGUGUUAAAAGGAAAGGGAACAACGCGCUUUUGAGAAUUGCUCGGGUCUUUGUGGCAGCUUUCAGGAAUUGGCGAUUUACUCCUUCCCCAAUAGCUCCUGAGGAAGAAGGUCGUGGAACUGUACCUCACCAAAGUUAUGAGCAGUUCAAGUUCCUAAACAAUGCGCUGCUUACAACAGAUGGCUCAAAAGAAGAUCAGAAGGUUUGUACCUUUCGUGAUGUUGAAGAAGCCAAGGCAGUACUCAGGCUUAUUCCAAUAUGGACUACAUGCUUGGGAUAUGCUAUUGUGUUUCCACAGUCCUCAACUUUCUUUGUCAAGCAAGCAGCAACCAUGGAUAGAUCAAUUUCACCAGGUUUCGAAAUACCAGCAGCUUCACUUGAAAGCUUUAGCAGCAUUUCCAUGAUCCUCUGUAUUGCUAUCUAUGACCGUCUCUUUGUUCCUGUUGCAAGAUCUUUAACAAGGAAACCAUCUGGCAUUUCAAUGCUUCAGAGAAUUGGAACUGGGAUGUUUUUAUCUGCUGUUUCGAUAGCAUUUGCUGCUCUAGUUGAGAUGAAAAGGCUCGAAAUCGCUCAAGAAUCUGGUCUAGUCAAUGAACCAAAUGUGACUGUUCCAAUGAGUGUUUGGUGGUUAGUCCCUUCAUAUGUCUUGUUCGGAGUUGCUGAUGUCUUUACCAUGGUUGGUCUGCAAGAACUUUUCUAUGAUCAGGUCCCUAGUGAUUUAAAGAGUGUUGGUCUUUCACUAUACCUCAGUAUCUUUGGUGUAGGAAAAUUUCUUAGCAGCUUUCUCAUCUCUGUCAUUGAGAAAGCGACUGGUGGCAUUGGCUGUUGUAGCUGGUUCGACAAUAAUUUGAACCGGGCUCAUCUUGAUUAUUUUUAUUGGAUACUUGCUGCGCUAAGUGUGGUGGAAUUGAUUAUGUACAUGUAUUAUACAAGAUUUUACAUUUAUAGUAGGGAUGAGAGAAUCUAAGGCAAUGUUUUUCUCAUUACCAUCUCUCUGCAAUUACAAUUGUUGCAAGCAUGCAGCUUGUGGGGAGAGGAGUGGCAUAUUUAAGGAACACAACAUCCUCGUUUGCUGCUAGUCUGCCACUGCUGUGUCGGAUUUGAGCUCAACCUGUUAUGCAGCCUUGUCCAAUGUUAAUAAGUCGCAUUAUGUGUGUCAAGAAAAUGUGCUGCAUGAUGUCCGAUUUUGAAGACAGAAUGUGCUGCAUUUGCUUUGGAUCCUGCUGGAAUACAAAGAAAGAUGGAAGAGGUAAAUAUUGUUAGUUUGUUUCAUCAAGAAAUAGAGAAAACCAGUCUGUUUCUUUGAUUUUGUCUGUGCCAAAGGAAUGUGUUGCUUUCGAGAUUAACAUGUUCAAAGGUUUAGCAUCUUGGAUGUCAAGAUAGCUUGGCAUAUGCUACAUGUUAUCUUUAAUGCUAGAUUUUCGUUUGGCUUGCUUCUUGUACAAAUUCCUAUCUGACCAAUGACCAGAAUUCUAUCAGGUGAUUUAAAAUUUUCAUCGUACUUGCUUUCUUUCAA